AAAAAGCACUUUGAAAAGAGAGUGCAAGAGAACGUGAAACCGUUAUAGUGGAAACGGAUAGAGUUGACGUAUCUAGUGCGUAUUCAGCUGCUGUUUGUGUGAAUAUUUUUAUUGAAUUUCCUUAUAAGUGUUCAAUAGAUUCGUUUUGCGCAUUCAACAGUGCAUUUGCGUACAGAGUGCGCCGAAUCAACUGAGCUUGCUAUUUGAAGCGUGUAGAGAGGACUAACUUGUUAGAAACUUUUACAUUUGGAUGAUAGAUGAGUUUAGUUGUUGCUUUUGAGCUGGUUUUUCGUGAUUAGCUGCUUUGGCUUGAGUAGUUUUUGUACGAUGCAUGCGUUUUGCAUUUAUUGCUUUUGCUGUUGCAGUUGAUUGCUCGGCUUUGAAUUCGGUGUUCAGUCAAUCACCUAUCUGACCCGUCUUGAAACACGGACCAAGGAGUUUAAGGUGUACGCAAGUCAUUGGCUGUUAAAAGUCAUAGGCGUAAUGAAAGUGGGACAUUUAAUGUCUGUGAUGUGAUUUUUGUUUGUUUCGAUGAGCUGAAAGCAACAUCGACCCAUGACUAGGAUUUAUUCUGUUGUGGAGUCUGAGCGUACGCUUUGAGACCCGAAAGAUGGUGAACUAUGCCCGAACAGGACGAAGUCAGAGGAAACUCUGAUGGAAGUCCGAAGCGGUUCUGACGUGCAAAUCGAUCGUCUGAUUUGGGGUAUAGGGGCGCAAGACUAAUCGAACCAUC
rnacentral:rRNA from 1 species